rnacentral:lncRNA from 1 species
GGGUGGGGAACUCCUAGGUGACUUGGAGGUAGAACUCCAAAUGUUGGGAGCUACCAUGAAACACAUGUUUACCUCAACUGUCGCGUAUAUGUGUCUCAGGUUGAGUUGAGGGGAUCUAUGAGAACAUGGCCAAAUUGAAUUGUUCGUUCACUUGUGUGGUGGCAUAGUAUCAAGCCUCCUAACCAAGUACUUCAGAGUUAGAAUGGUACCAAAGAAAGAUGAGGAGUCUAGAGUAUAAGAGCAUGCAUAACAUUACUUGAUUUGUGUGUUUACUUACUUGAUGUUGUGGAUGGUAUCAAUAUUUUACCUUGAUUAUUCUUGUUGAUUUUGAUUUGAUAUGAUACGGUGUUUAAUAUAUUUUAUGUGUUCUUCUCAAUUAUUUAUACUAUUACAUGUUUUCGAAGCUUAGCCCUCGUUGCUUAUAUUUGGCGCUUGCGAGAGCGUAGCUAUUUCAGGUUAUCGUUUGGUGAUCCACACUUUGAUAAGUGAUACUGGGUGGGAGUAAUUUGUCGUACUUUAUUGAGUUACGAACUAAUUUAUGUUUUUGUAAAUUCGAUCAAUCAAUUGUGUUAUUUUUAUCUUUUAUUCGGAGGUAAAAAUUAAUUGUCUCUAAGUUUAGAACGUUUUUUUAUGUCAUAAAUAUUUAUUUAAUAAACAUCAACUAUAUUCUAUAUAAAAACAAUUUUUAUUGAAAAUUUUUAUGCAAACAUUUUGUGUAAGUGUGAAUGUGACGUCCUGAACCUUAUAGUUUAACGGAAAAAAAUUAUACUCUAUUUUGGAAUCGCUACGAAUCUCUUUCAAAACUAUUGCAUUUUACUUUUUAUUUCAAUUUGGAUUUAGGGUGUCACAUUAGUGGUAUAAGAGUAGGUCUGUCCAAUGUAGCUGAGUGGAUCGAGCAUUGGUUCAGUGUUAGUCAAAUGUGAAUUGUGUUAGUUGUGUUUACUUUUGUACCAUUAUUAUCAUUAUAAUAUUAGGAUAAUCAACUAUUGGUUCUUAUUUUUAGUUAUGUUUAUUUAUGUUUGUGAUAAUUUGAGAUUUUUCUUUUGUUGUUGUUAUUAUUUUUUGUUUGUUUGUAAAGUUUGUUAAAUAUAUAUGCCAUGUAGGUAUAUUCUAUUACCGCGAACCACUGCUUAAAAGUCAUUUGAAACUCUAAUGAUAAUGAAUUACACUCUUUGGAAGUAUGAUUUAACGACUAAGAUAUUGACUUGUUUGAUGUUAGUUAUUUUUUGAAGGACGUAUUCAUUUUUUCUUGUUUUUCGAAUGGACAUUGAUAUAAUAAUUGCCUUGGCCGUAAAAUUUGAGAAGAAAUUUAAAUUAUACUUGCCAUCAUUAUUAGUGGUUCGAGUGAAUUUUAAACACCGGUCCAUAAAAGUGGUCCACCAUAGCAUUUUCCGCAUGAAGUAUUUGGACACUGAAAGUUUGAAAUCUCUAAGUAUUGUUUUGGCUUGGAACGAUGUUGUAACGUGCAUAUAUCAAAGAAAAAAAAUGAAAUAACUUGUUUGUAGUAGAUUGAGAUAAAGAUGAUAACUUGUUUGUAGUAGAUUGAGAUAAAGAUGAGUAUGUUUUUGUAAUAUAAUAUGGGAGUUUUAUGUUUGAGUACAAAUUAAGAUUGUGUGAUUUUACUUUAUAUAUUUCAAAUUUUGUGAGCUGCAAAGAUUCUUUGCUUCUUGUGGUUUCUUUUGCUUCUUGUUUUUGACUUUUCGUUGUUGGUUUUGCUGAGUAUUUUGGUUUUCGUGUAAAUUGCAAGUUAGUGAAUUUGUGUCUUAAGUUAGUAGGUGUGGUGUGUUGCUGGCUGGUGGAAUUUGGAAAAUGGAUUACUUCUAUCAUUUUAAAGGGUUUUGGAAUCAUCUGAGAUGGAAAUGAAUUAUAAUGUUUAGUGACAUUUAAAACAUGAUUGUAGAAGCUAGUCAUAUCUGUUUGGUUUGGCUGUGUUGCGUACUGUCUUAUGUUGCUUACCCAUGAUACAAUUAUGAUAAUUGAUUUUGUUCUUACAUGGUGGUGCCCUGCACUGGUUCUUUGGUUUAUUAGUAACAAAUGAUUAUGUCUUUGUGUAAUAUUCUCCGGUUGAGCUGUAGUGUUGUUUUAAUUCCCAGUUUAGCUGUAGUGUUGUUUUAAUUUUUGUACCUCCCCAUUUUUAACCUUUGGCACAAACUUGCAAAACUCAUAUUUGGAUGACACAUGCUACUAGUUAGUAUUUUAAUGUUCACUUAGGAGUUGAAAAUAGUUAGUGUGCCUUGUCAAAUAUGAGGUGAACAGUGUUUUUACAUUUAGUAUUUGAAUAAUUGAAUGAUUACAUCAAAAGUGAAUCUAUGAAUAGAAGGGAUGACAUGCCGACUGGAAAAAAAAGUUAUAUCGUUGUUCGGGUCUUGAAUUGAUAAUGUUCCAUAUGUGUUUGAUCAGUAUUUUUGUAAGGUAUCUAAAUUGAUUUAUGGUUUUUGAGGUAGUUUUUGGAAGCUAAGUCUUUUCUUGUUCGGUUGGUUGUAUGUUUGGGUGUAAGCAUAUAUUUUUUAUUUGUAUCAGUGUUACUUUGCAUGAGUUAUUUGUAUCAACACCUUAUAUUCAAUGGUUGAUCUUGCACUUCUUAUGAAAGGUUAGUGUUAUUAAUAUAUCUUGCUGAUUAAACAACAACAAAAAAGUUCAAAUUAAUUUUCUAAAAUAUAGUUUAACUUUGAACAUAGUUUAUGCACUGUUUCAUUCAUUUUAUUUUGCUAAUGUGUUAUGCUAUUGUCUAGCAAAUAGUUACCUGUCCUAUUUACUACUUGAAAAAUCUAUAUUCAGUUUGUGUUAAGUGAUAUGGAUUAAUUCAAAAAAAAAAUAAUAAAUUUAAUUGUAAUAAAUUUAGGGUAGAUGGUUUUCUAUGAGAAUAUACUACAUAUUUAGAAUCAUCAUUAAUGUGUUUUGAAGUAAACUUAGAAUCAUGGUGCCAGUUUAUUGGAUAAGUUAUAGGAAUGUGUUUUGAUUUUGUGAAUAUAAAAUUGUUUGUGGUUUAGGUGUUCUAAAUGGUUUUGUAGGAAAUUUGUGUAUAGAAUCUAGAGUUCUUAGGAGUGUUUAACAGUGGAAUAAUUCAAUGUUUCUUCUUUUUUAUUGUUGAUUAAGUUUAAAUUAAGUGUUAUUUCUAUUGCUGUUACUCAUUGUAUUAGGUAAUUAAGUAAAUUUAGUUUAUUAUCACUAGUUAAUUUGACUAUCUUCUACUUACUUGAAAUAUUAUUUUGAUAAUUUAACUGAGAAAAAAAAAUUUUUUUUUUUGAAUUAUAGAUUAUACUUAAUUUGUUUUCUAAGUGAAAUAAACAAGGUUGCUAGCUAUUUUUGGCAUAGGAAUAAUUAUAAUUAUCUAAAGGUGUGAUUGAGUUCCGGUUGACGAUAUUUUUAAAUUAUUGCCUUAUAACUUUGCUUGUUGAGUUGAGCCCAAAAUACUAUUUUAUUUGUUUUAUGACUAUGAUUAAAUAACAAUAAAUUUUAAUUGUCGUAUUAUAUGUUUAUUAUAAGUAUUUAUGUACAUGUACUAGUUGCUAAAUUUUUUUCUUUUUAAAAAAAAAAUUGUGAAGUUAAAAGUAGUUUAACGGUGUUGAGAGAGGUGAGAGAUGUGACAAUGUCUUCCCACACUACGACCACGUUAAAAGUCUUUUAAUUAUCUAUAUUUGAAUCCAAUGAUUUUUAGUUAUUGUUACCUUGAGUAAUUGACAUGAGUAGAAGGGAUUGAUCAACCGAUGACUCACUGUUAGUGCAAAUAGGCAAGAAUGACUCAACAUUAUUAUUAUGAAUAUAUGAUGACUUUAUUUUGGUUAAUUAGACGGAAGGUCCACCCUUAUACCCUUAUGUUAGUUGAGUUAUUUCAAUGUAUAUGUGUAUCUUGUCAUGAGGUAAUAUGUUCAUCAUUGACUUUUAUUUUCUUUGCUUAUUUGGUUAUAAUUUUUUUAAAUGAUUUAAUUAUAAAUGGCAUACACUAUAAAUGUUGAUUGUUUUAAAAAAAAAAAAUUGUGAGUUUGAAAUACAUGAAAAAUAAUUUACCCCUUCUAAUAUGGUUUUGUAUAUUGGUUCUUGAUUGCAAAGUGAUUACAUGUCCUUAGAAUUGUUAUAUGCAUUUCUGUUUAUAAUUAUUUAAUGUGUAGAAUAUUUUAAAUGUUCUUCUAUAUGUCUAACUUUUGUUAAACUUGUAGAGUAAAUGUUGUUUGAAUUUAAACAUUCUUUUAGGAGUGUGAGACUAAUAAAGCACUAUUUGAGAAGUUAAUUGAAAUUAAUAAUGUGUUUAAUUUUUUUCCGUUCAUUCAAGUUACGUAGUAAGUUGUUAUUUACUAAUUCUAUGAGCUUUAAUUCCUCUGUAAAUUAUAAUGAGUAAUUGUGGUAUUUCUUUCAUGAUUGAAAUGUUAUAUGUGACAUGUAUUUUAAUAAUUCAUUGUCAUGGUAGUCUAUCAUGCUAAGUCACUUGAUUCUUGACAUAUAGUGCUUAGAUAACGAGGGAGUUCCUUGAGGGUACUAAAUUAGGUAUUUGUUCGUUUAUUGUUCAUCAAAAAUUUUGACGACGAAAUUUAUUUAACGAAUGGAGAAUUGUAACACCCUAAAUUUUAUAAUAAAUUAUUUUAUUUAUCUAAUAGGAUUUUAAAUAAUUAAUUUAGUAUUGCAUGUGUUUAGAAUAUGUGUUGAUAUAUAAUUAUGAUUAAUUUUCCUUACAUGUGUAUUUGCUAUAGUGUGAUAAUUUUAUUGAGAUUUAAAUUAGUGAAUAAGAUAAAUUGUUAAUAUUGUAUUUAUUUAUUCUAUUUACUUAUUUUUGUGAAAAUUAUUAGUAUUGUAAUAUGAAUAUUUUGGAGAAUAAUACUUUAAUUAUUAUGGAUGAAUAGAAUGAGUGAUUAAUAUCCUUUUUUUAACUUAAAUUAUAGAAAUAUAAGUUUAAGUCAGCUAUCAACACCCCUUUCUGCUUCAGUUGUUUUUUUUUAUUGGGUUUUUGCUGAUUUUGUACCUCACUUUACCCAAAACCACAAAUCAGAUUUUGCACCUCGUUUACCCUAAACCACAAAUCACAAGCAGAUUUCUUGUUCUUACAACCUUGCGCCGCCGCUGGUAAUAGCUCAUCCCCAUCUUCACCAAUUUCUUCCAUUCCGUGGUUGAAUAACUCAUCACAAUUUCUUCUCCAUCAAUCAUCUUCGUCCAGACCUACUAUAUGAGACUCCCAUAAUAAGAAAACAAGUCACAAUACAUCUCUAACAACCGCUACAUGUGAUAUUUUUCGACAACCGUGAGUGUCUUCAAUGUCUCCAACCACCAUAUUUGAAAUCAUUGUGCUCGACUCAUUCAUCUACGAGAAGAACCGCAAUCAAAACAACCAUUCAUGACUUAAUCGAAAAUUCUAACCAUCGCCUUCAAGCCUCGAUUCUGGCCGUUGUAGUGUUGACUCGAAAUAACGAAGAUCGGUUAUGUGAUCUAUGGGUCGAGAACUUUGUCCUACAAUAUUCAUUUUCAAUUUAAGCAAAAUCCGUGAAAACUUGUUAUCGUCGGCGUUACGGUAAAUGUUUUCCGAUCAACCUAGCAUUCAUUGUUCAUUUGUUUUGAACCUAUCAUAAUUAAAGUCAGAUGUUGAUGCGCUUUUAAUUUUAAUUUAAGUGUUGUUGUUAUCCGUAAGCACCGUUUCGAGUCAACCGUGUUGGUAAGGUCCUCCGACCAUUAUUUUUUUUCUUCCCUCCAUAAUUUCAACUUUGUUUCUACUUGUAAUAUCAUUUAUUAAAUAUUUGACUUUUUUUUAUCAUCGUCGCAAUUUCUCAGUUGCAAUUUGGUUAUUCUCUGGACCCGCUUUCAAACAAUUUAUUUUUUGAUUGCUCCAACAUUGCUGAAAUUUAAAGUGUACCGUAUGAAAUCAUUAAAGGAGGUAUGGAGUGAGAGAGAGUUCGAAUUCAUGAGUGUAAGUUAACUGAGAUGAAUGGGAAAACCUUAUUUCCCAUAAUUCAUUUGAGGCUCGCUAGUACGGUUGAAGUCUUUUGAGUAAUAGUUGACUAAUGAGAAAACUUGAAUUUGGUGAGGUUAAAAUACGAGUUAGAAACUUUUAUAGGGUGUUGUUUGAUUUAAAUUUUAAAUAUUGCUUGGUAGUUGAAUUAUUGCAGAAUUGUGUAUUUGAUGUAUUAUGUGUUUUGUUUAUAUCUACCUUGAUAUCAUUAUAUGAUAUAAAAUAUGAUGAAUUGUUAUUAAUUCAAUUUCAAUUGAAGUGAUGUGUGUGAAUGAUCUAGUAUUAUUAUCUGUGAGUGAAAAUCAUAUAUUGUUGGAGUUUGUGUAUUAUGAUGAUAAAUUUUGAAUGUAGUAAGUAUAUGACUAUGAAAAUAUGCAUUGAUGGUUACUUGUUGACUUAUGAUGUUACUACCUUGAUGAAUAUCACGAAAUGCAUAUUUCAUUUUAUUGAAUAGUGAUGAGUUUGACUUGUACCAAGGGUGGUUCUCUUAAUGGAGUGAGUAACCUAUGCCAACGAGGGGAGAAAAUAGAUGUUGAUAAUUUUUGAAGUGGAGAAUAUGUAGUCAUCAUAUAGGUAGGGCCUCAAAAUCCUAGUGAUUCCGGGGAAGUACAAUUGAAUGAGUCUGGUCGUGGCGGUCUGUUGUUGAGCCUUAGGGCAAGAUUGUUAGACCUUGGAGGUAUUCGAGUGGGGAACUCCUAGGUGACUUGGAGGUAGCACUUCAAAUGUCAAGAGCUACCAUGUAACACACGUUUACCUCGACUGUCGCGUAUAUGUGUCUCGGGUUGAGUCGAGGAGAUCUAUGAGUACAUGGCCAAAUUGAAUUGUUCGUCCACUUGCAUGGUGGCAUAGUAUUAAGCCUCCUAACCAAAUACUUCAGAGUUAGAAUGGUACCAAAGAAAGAGGAGGAGUCUAGAGUAUAAGAGCAUGCAUAACAUUACUUGAUUUGUGUGUUUACUUACUUGAUGUUGUGGAUUGUAUCAAUGUUUUACCUUGAUUAUUCUUGUUGAUUGUGAUUUGAUAUGAUACGGUGUUUAAUAUAUUUUACGUGUUCUUCUCAAUUAUUUAUACUAUUACAUGUUUUCGAAGCUCACCCUUUGUUGCUUGUGCUUGGCACUUGCGAGAGUACAGUUAUUUCAGGUUAUCGUUUGGUGAUCUACGCUUUGAAAGGUGAUAUUAGGUGGAAGUAAUUUGUUGUAUUUUGUUGAGUUAUGAACUAAUUUAGCUUUUUGUAAAUUCGAUCGAUCAAGGUAAAAAUUAAUUGUCUCUAAGUUUAGAAUGUUUUUUUAUGUUAGAAAUAUUUAUUUAAUA